ACGGGUGAGUAACACGUAAGUAACCUACCUAUAAGACUAGGACAACCUGUCGAAAGACGGGCUAAUACUAGAUAAGACCCCAUUUUCUUUGGAAGAUGAGGUAAAAGAUGGCCUCUACUUGUAAGCUAUCGCUAAUAGAUGGGCUUGCGUACCAUUAGCUAGUUGGUAGGGUAAUGGCCUACCAAGGCGACAAUGGUUAGCUGAUCUGAGAGGAUGAUCAGCCACACUGGAACUGAAACACGGUCCAGACUCCUACGGGAGGCAGCAGUGGGGAAUCUUGCGCAAUGAGCGAAAGCUUGACGCAGCAACGCCGCGUGGGCGAAGAAGGCCUUCGGGUCGUAAAGCCCUGUCGGAGGGGACGAAACCUUUUUUGGCUAACAUCCAAGAAAAUUGACGGUACCCUCAAAGGAAGCACCGGCUAACCACGUGCCAGCAGCCGCGGUAAUACGUGGGGUGCAAGCGUUGUUCGGAAUUACUGGGCGUAAAGCGCGUGUAGGUGGCCAAGCGGGUCAGAUGUGAAAGCCCUCAGCUUAACUGAGGAAGUGCGUCUGAAACUAUUUGGCUCGAGUAUGGGAGAGGAAGAUGGAA
rnacentral:rRNA from 1 species